UUGAAAAACUGGCAAUCAACACACCUCCAGUCAAAACAGCAUCACCGCCGUCACCAGACGCACUCAACACUGGAAAAAUGGAAAAAGUAAGCUAUCCCAUCUUCAGAGGUGACGAAAUCGCCAGAAUAUGAGAACGCCAUGGAAAAAGGCAAAAGAAAAGCUUCAGAUAUUUCAACGUUUAUGACAAAAGUUAAAAAAAUCUUCACAAGACGUAGUGAACACUGGAAAAACAGAAAAAGUAAGUAAUCUC
rnacentral:lncRNA from 1 species